UACGUAGGGUCCGAGCGUUGUCCGGAAUUACUGGGCGUAAAGAGCUCGUAGGUGGUUUGUCGCGUUGUUCGUGAAAACUCACAGCUUAACUGUGGGCGUGCGGGCGAUACGGGCAGACUUGAGUACUGCAGGGGAGACUGGAAUUCCUGGUGUAGCGGUGGAAUGCGCAGAUAUCAGGAGGAACACCGGUGGCGAAGGCGGGUCUCUGGGCCGUAACUGACGCUGGAGGGAGCGGAA
rnacentral:rRNA from 1 species